CCGAGUUUAUUUUUCUCUCUCGCUCUCAGUUUAUAACUAUUGUGAUUAAUUCGUUUGGAUUUUUCUGUAGUGCCUUGCGGCUCUUUCGUCUGCUUCUCUCUUCGAAGUUCAAUGGCCGCGGAGAAACAAGAUUAGGACAACUCAAAGAAGCCAAAGAACACGGAGAAGUCUAAGCAGAACUUUCAUACAUGGAUUGAUGACAGAAUUAUGCCUUCUUUACCUUGUUAUUGCCUGGUCGGAAAAGUGAAGAACAGAUGAAACAUGCAUAUAUCAUGUUGUCUGAUUGUUUCAGAUAUGUAAAGAAUACUUCAUGGUUGAAUACUUUGGAGAGGAUUUCAGUCAUCAGAAAUGUCUCUUAUGUGACGGGUGCAUCAAUGUUCCACCACAACGGCUGAAUCUAAAAGAAGAGGCCUGUAUUUUACUACAAACUGUAGGUGCCCAUAAUGUAUGUAAUGAUUCCUUGGAUUGCUCAUAUGAAGAUGAUAUAUAUUCUGGCUCCAAACAUAGAGGACUAAGAGAGAGGCCAAACCUUAAGGUGUUAGUUGGAAAAAUAAGGCAGCAGGUGAACCUAGUUAUAAUUGUCAUUUCUUAUUGUUUGUUACGUUGGAUAUUCUGUCUUGUUGCCUAUCUAUGUAACCAGUUUUAUUUUCAUACUUGAAUGUCUGUAUACAGUUAACCACUUAUAUAUUAUGGUGGAGAGGUCUUGCUCGAUUAUUGGAAACUAAAGGAUUCAUAAGGGAAGGAGAUGACAAGCUUUGGUGGCCCCAGACCUACUUUACCCUUGAUGUUGUGGUCCUAAUGUUAGAGAGCUUCCAUUAAGGUCUUGGAAGAGAACUGAGUGGGAAGAUAAAAACCACUGCAUCAUUGCAGAUACACAUGAUAUCUACAAGGUUAUAGCAGCAACAAACAGCAGAUAUUCUUUACCUCGCCCUGAUGCAUUCUAGGCUAUUGGAUCGUAAAAUUGAGUUUCUGCACCGAAUUGAAGAUGGGCUCGGAUUCUACAGUGAAGCAGUAUGAUACUUGUGAAAUUGUCGCGGUGAAGAUGGCAAGACUUCGUGUAUUGCGAUUGCUUUGGAAUUUCAAUCAUGGACACAUUUUUGAGGCAUGUAAAGACAAUCUCAAGAAGCUUCAGCUAAGUUAUCUAAAUUCACUUUCUUAUUGUCAAAAGGCAUAUUGGUAUGUUUGUUUCUUAUGUGUCCCUUAAAUACAAUUUUUUGUGCAUGUAUGGUAACAAUUAUAAUUGGCAUUAUUAAAGGAGUGAUCUGAUUGGGCAGAGUAUUUUUACCUUACACAGAGAAUUAAUAUACCCAUGAGAUCAAAUAUAUACAUGAAUUAUGAGUACAUGUAUACUUAUUAAAAACCUUAUCUAAUUAUUAAGUAUCUUAUAUAAUUGCCUGAUUAUAUUUCCUUAUUGUAUAUACUUGUGUGCAUCUAGUGAUACUAAGCUGGCCUCCAAUAUACUUUUAUAUGAAGGUAGGCAAGACUACUUGUAUACCUAGUAUUCUUUUGAUACGAAAGUUGAUGCUAAGUCUAGUCCUUCAGGAAUCUCUUCAUACUGAUUUUAAAAUUGAUUUUGAACCAUAAAUUGAUUUUUAAGGCAAAUUGGUUUCACAAGAAUUUAAAUUAUCAAUUGAUUUGAAACAGAUUAAAAAUAAUAAACAAGUCUGCAUUUAAGAUAAAUCUAAAUAUCAUUUAUUUUGUUAAAAUUAGUUUAAAAAACUGAUUUAUGAUUGUAACCUAGCUUUGAUACCCAACCGGAUUUCUAAUCAUAAACUGGUUUUAAAACCAAGUUUAAAAUUGAAAAUCCGAAAAAGUUAUUUUGCUGAUUACAAUGAACAAUGUUGGAAUUGCUCAAUUAGGUUGAUGGUUUUAGUAGUGAUGACAAAAUUAUGUCUUGUCUUUAUUUUUUAUUGUCUAUAUGUUUUUUCUUGAUUAAUGUGAUAUAAAUAAGUACAAUAAGUGUUUCUUUUUUCUACUGUGAAUUCACGCAUUGUUUUGGUAAGUGAGUAAUUUGAAAUUAGACUUCCAAGAUUUUUUUGACUAUUGUUUUAUUCAAAAAUUAAUUUGCAAUGUUUAUGUUUGUUUUAAAAGUUACUUAAUUAUACGGGUAUUGUUAACAUUUUUUUUAUAGGUUUAGUUUAAUCUUACUACUUUUUCCACAAAAGGAUUGGACUGUUCAUUUGUGGAGGAUGAUGUCAGAUCUUGAGGAAAACAUAUUUUUUGUCAUGGUCAUUUGUGAUUUAUUAAAUCUCUGUGAAAUCACAAGUGGAAAAGAUAACAAAGCUGUUAUUGCAUGUAAUAUCAUGUAUCUUGUGGGACAGGAUCCUCGGUUUUUAAGAGCUCAUU